GACGUAGGGCGCGAGCGUUGUCCGGAUUUAUUGGGCGUAAAGAGCUCGUAGGCGGCUUGUCGCGUCGGCUGUGAAAACCCGCGGCUCAACUGUGGGCGGGCAGCUGAUACGGGCAGGCUGGAGUUCGGUAGGGGAGACUGGAAUUCCUGGUGUAGCGGUGAAAUGCGCAGAUAUCAGGAGGAACACCAAUAGCGAAGGCAGCUCGCUGGGACGUUACUGACACUGAGGCGCGAAAGCGUGGGGAGCAAACAGG
rnacentral:rRNA from 1 species